UACGUAGGGUGCGAGCGUUAAUCGGAAUUACUGGGCGUAAAGGGCGCGUAGGCGGACAGUUUAGUCAGAGGUGAAAGCCCAGGGCUCAACCUUGGAAUUGCCUUUGAUACUGGCUGUCUUGAGUUCGGGAGAGGUGAGUGGAAUGCCGAGUGUAGAGGUGAAAUUCGUAGAUAUUCGGCGGAACACCAGUGGCGAAGGCGACUCACUGGCCCGAUACUGACGCUGAGGCGCGAAAGCGUGGGGAGCAAACAGG
rnacentral:rRNA from 1 species